UACGUAGGGUGCAAGCGUUAAUCGGAAUUACUGGGCGUAAAGCGUGCGCAGGCGGUUGUGCAAGACAGAUGUGAAAUCCCCGGGCUUAACCUGGGAAUUGCAUUGUGACUGCACGGCUAGAGUGUGUCAGAGGGGGGUAGAAUUCCACGUGUAGCAGUGAAAUGCGUAGAUAUGUGGAGGAAUACCGAUGGCGAAGGCAGCCCCCUGGGAUAACACUGACGCUCAUGCACGAAAGCGUGGGGAGCAAACAGG
rnacentral:rRNA from 1 species